GGUAGCUCAAACGGUAAGAGCGGCAAACUCAUAAUUUGAUGGUUGGUGGUUCAAAUCCACCC
rnacentral:tRNA from 1 species